ACCUCAUUGUGUGAUUAGCGAAGAAUAAUCUUCUUUGUUUUAUUGGGUGGAGGUGGGAUUGAACUUGAUGAUGAACCAUUUUGAGCUCCACAACUGAGGAUAUAUAUGAAGUGUCUGAUCCGGCGUUAUCAUCAGAUCAUGCGCGCAUUUUCGAAGUAGAGGUCAGCCAUCAUCUUUCUGAUAAUGGAAGACAAAGGGUCUCCAUGGUUUUUGGAGAUACACGAUAUUUGUGGAAGGAGACGCAUGAAAGAUGCAUCAGGUUGGCUUCUGCUCUUUCUC